GUAACUACAUUUUUAUAUGAUACGGCCUUUUUUUCUUAGUAUUGCUGCUGGUAUGGUUCCUCCUUCCUGUGCAAUGAGCCAGUUCAGAGAACUGAAAAUGAAGCACAGCAAAAGUUCUGAAUAGCAACCCUGGAACAGAGUGGGCUUGUUGACUUCAUUCUGCAGCUGCAUGAAAAAUCUGCCUCUAACCCUGCAGCUUCAAGAAGACAGCGCAGCAUCUGUUCACAUAAAAGAUAGCUUUGAGCUUGUCUUUUUUAAAUAAUGAGAAAUUUAAACUACUGGGUUUGAAUGGAAACUUGGAAACAGGUUACUUGGCUUCCCUCAUUUGCCAAGGAAAGUUUUCCACUUAUCUUUGACAAAGGACUGGAUGGAUUUUCUUCAAUUUAAAUAAUUUUGCUGCACAUGUGGAGAAAUCAGCAUCUAAUUUAUGAGACACUUCAAUUUUGAUAUAAUAAUUAUGUGAAUCUGUUUUUAGUUAAGGUACAAAGUCUGAUUUUUAUGGGAUGGCUCUUUCUAUAUGCAUCCCUUUAUAUUCGUUUGCUCAUCGCCAUGAUAGCUUCCUAUCAGUUUGCCAACACUAUGCACUUCACAGAAGUUAUGGUUAACCCAGGGACCAAAUGCAGAGUGCCAGGGAGCAACAUCUGGGUAUCUGAUUUCCAUGGGAUCAUGCAUAGUUCUGUUCUGAUAAAGUUUAAUGCAUCAUGUUUAAAAAAAAAAAAAA